AGAGUUUGAUCAUGGCUCAGGACGAACGCUGGCGGCGUGCUUAACACAUGCAAGUCACGGGGGCCCGCAAGGGUAACCGGCGAACGGGUGCGUAACACGUGAGCAAUCUGCCGUCCACUGGGGGAUAGCCGGCCCAACGGCCGGGUAAUACCGCAUACGCUUGCCGGGUGGCAUCACCUGGCAAGGAAACCUCCGGGGGUGGACGAGGAGCUCGCGGCCUAUCAGCUAGUUGGUGGGGUCACGGCCCACCAAGGCGAUGACGGGUAGCUGGUCUGAGAGGAUGGCCAGCCACAUUGGGACUGAGAUACGGCCCAGACUCCUACGGGAGGCAGCAGUGGGGAAUAUUGCGCAAUGGCCGCAAGGCUGACGCAGCGACGCCGCGUGGGGGAUGAAGCAUUUCGGUGUGUAAACCCCUGUUGCCCGGGACGAACCUCCCCUUUCGAGGGGACUGACGGUACCGGGUGAGGAAGCACCGGCUAACUCCGUGCCAGCAGCCGCGGUAAUACGGAGGGUGCGAGCGUUGUCCGGAAUCACUGGGCGUAAAGGGCGCGUAGGCGGUGACUUAAGCGUGUGGUGAAAGCCCGGGGCUCAACCCCGGGUCGGCCGUGCGAACUGGGUCACUCGAGCACUGUAGAGGCAGGUGGAAUUCCGGGUGUAGCGGUGGAAUGCGUAGAGAUCCGGAAGAACACCAGUGGCGAAGGCGGCCUGCUGGGCAGUAGCUGACGCUGAGGCGCGACAGCGUGGGGAGCAAACAGGAUUAGAUACCCUGGUAGUCC
rnacentral:rRNA from 1 species